rnacentral:lncRNA from 1 species
UGCGUAUUACAUAUUCUGAGAAGUGAUCACUGAUAAUGUUAUAUAAUAAAACUUUACUAAAUUAGUAUAGUCAUUUGCAAUUUACACUAUGAUCGAAGUGAGUGCGCCUAAUUCUGGACAACAGCUAGCUAUCCUUCAAAAUUAGUAUCAUCAACUGCAGCAGGAAAACAUUUGUUAUCAAACGUGCAUUAGAAACCAGCAACCACAAUUAGAAGAGCUAAAGGCAAAAAAAAAUCCAUGCACUCCUCAAGCGGAAAAAAAAAGAACGCACUCCAUUAGCAGCAAAAAACAACAACGUAUUUGCAUCUGAGAUUACAGAAAACACCACCAACUCUGAAACCUUGUGUUGGGUUAAAACAUAGUGAAAGGG